AGCCUCCGUAUGUAGUUUUAGAAUGUCAGAUGUGCUCGUGUUGGGGAUGUCAUUCGUCCAUUUAAAGGUUGCUUUGGUAAACUACUGCUAGUAUUUUCCUGAGGGCUUGGGCGGGGUGUCGUUGUCUAAGGAAUCCAGUUUGUUGCUCGGUUUAUCCACUCAACCUCUGAGGGAGGUUUUACCGUCUUUCACCGUCUUCUUGGGAUCAUAGCUUUAACAGCAUGCAGAAGUUGAAGUGUGUGGGUGACAACUGGUGGUCCAACUCCUCCAUGACACAUGGAAACCCCCUGCCAGUACCAUCUUCACCGCCACCUUUUUGGGAUCUCUGAACUUUCUGCUGUGGAACUAACAUGGAACCUACACACUUUUUUGCUAGGACCACAGUUAAUAAAGGGUAAAAUAUUUCUUUUA